rnacentral:rRNA from 1 species
ACGGGUGAGUAACACGUGGGUGAUCUGCCCUGCACUUUGGGAUAAGCCUGGGAAACUGGGUCUAAUACCGAAUACACCUUGCUGGAUGCAUGUCUGGUGGGGGAAAGCUUUUGCGGUGUGGGAUGGGCCCGCGGCCUAUCAGCUUGUUGGUGGGGUGAUGGCCUACCAAGGCGACGACGGGUAGCCGGCCUGAGAGGGUGUCCGGCCACACUGGGACUGAGAUACGGCCCAGACUCCUACGGGAGGCAGCAGUGGGGAAUAUUGCACAAUGGGCGCAAGCCUGAUGCAGCGACGCCGCGUGGGGGAUGACGGCCUUCGGGUUGUAAACCCCUUUCAGUAGGGACGAAGCGCAAGUGACGGUACCUACAGAAGAAGGACCGGCCAACUACGUGCCAGCAGCCGCGGUAAUACGUAGGGUCCGAGCGUUGUCCGGAAUUACUGGGCGUAAAGAGCUCGUAGGUGGUUUGUCGCGUUGUUCGUGAAAACUCACAGCUUAACUGUGGGCGUGCGGGCGAUACGGGCAGACUAGAGUACUGCAGGGGAGACUGGAAUUCCUGGUGUAGCGGUGGAAUGCGCAGA